UACGUAGGUCGCAAGCGUUGUCCGGAUUUACUGGGCGUAAAGAGCGCGCAGGCGGCUGGUCAAGUCCGAUGUGAAAUCUCCCGGCUUAACUGGGAAACUGCAUCGGAAACUGAUCGGCUUGAAGGUGGGAGAGGGUAGUGGAAUUCCCGGUGUAGUGGUGAAAUGCGUAGAUAUCUGGAGGAACACCGGUGGCGAAGGCGGCGUUCUGGACUGUUUCUGACACUGAGGAACGAAAGCCAGGGGAGCAAACGGG
rnacentral:rRNA from 1 species